rnacentral:rRNA from 1 species
GACGAACGCUGGCGGCGUGCUUAACACAUGCAAGUCGAACGGAAAGGCCCUGCUUUUGUGGGGUGCUCGAGUGGCGAACGGGUGAGUAACACGUGAGUAACCUGCCCUUGACUUUGGGAUAACUUCAGGAAACCGGGGCUAAUACCGGAUAGGAGCUCCUGCUGCAUGGUGGGGGUUGGAAAGUUUCGGCGGUUGGGGAUGGACUCGCGGCUUAUCAGCUUGUUGGUGGGGUAGUGGCUUACCAAGGCUUUGACGGGUAGCCGGCCUGAGAGGGUGACCGGCAACAUUGGGACUGGGAUACGGCCCAGACUCUUACGGGAGGCAGCAGUGGGGAAUAUUGCACAAUGGCGGAAGCCUGAUGCAGCAACGCCGCGUGCGGGAUGACGGCCUUCGGGUUGUAAACCACUUUCGCCUGUGACGAAGCGUGAGUGACGGUAAUGGGUAAAGAAGCACCGGCUAACUACGUG